rnacentral:lncRNA from 1 species
GGGGAAGGGAAGGGAGGAGACACCAUUUCUUGCUGGGAGAAGCAGCAUGAGGUCCAUUUCCUCCACCCAAGGUCACACAUUCAGAUGCAGCCAUUAUAAUAUUGACUUCCAUUCCUCCAGGCCUUUGCAGGAGCCUCUACUCUCCAGCUAUCUCCACAGGUUGGUUUCACUUCCACUCACCCAUUGGUCAGGAGACAUCACUUCACCUGGAGCCUCUUCGGAUCUCCAAAGUCCCCCUGUGUUCACAGGGCAGCCUUUACAUCCCUGACCACACUGCACUGUCUGCUGCUUACCCACAGGCCUUUCCAGUUAGAACUCAAGGAUGAGGCCGGCGGAGGACAGCUUCUUUCCAGACCACCCCAGAGUGCCUCCGAUUUAAACAGUGGGUGCUGUGCCAUAUACUGGAGGACCAGACAGCACCUGGACGUGGGUCAGGACUCCAUGGAACUCCACUCCUUCCUAAUGGCCCUCCCCUCCACACCGGGACCCACUGUCUACACUGCUGCCAGACUGAUUUUUUUUUUUUUUGAGACGGAGUUUCGCUGUUGUUACCCAGACUGGAGUGCAAUGGCACGAUCUCGACUCACCGCAACCUCCGCCUUCUGGGUUCAAACAAUUCUCCUGCCUCAGCCUCCCGAGUAGCUGGGACUACAGGCGCACACCACCAUGCCCAGCUAAUUUUUUGUAUUUUUAGUAGAGACGGGGUUUCACCAUGUUGACCAGGCUGGUCAGAUCUCUUGACCUCGUGAUCCACCCACCUCGGCCUCCCAAAGUGCUGGGAUUAUAGGCGUGAGCCACCGUGCCCGGCCUAAGACUGUUCUUUCUAAAAGGCAAAUCAUACAUGUGACAUGUAACUCCUCUGCUUAAAACAGAGUAAAAUCCUAGCUCCUUGUCCUGGACUGCCAGGCCCUCUCAUCUUCCCCACCCUUCUCACCUCAUCUCCUAGGCUCUCCCCAGGACCAGCCACGCCAAGUAGGUCUUCCUCAAGGCCUUGGUAGUCACUGUUGCCCCUGCCGGGAACUAAUUUUAGCCUAGGUAUUGUUCACAGAGAUGCUUCCUCAGCAUCCAUCAGGCCUCAGUGCCAUGUCACCUCCUGCAGGAAGCCUUCUCUGGUUACUCCCUUGAUGCAUUCCUUUUUUUUUUCCAUGUUUACUCAACAAGUAUUCAUCUUAACUAUGUCCCACGCACUGUUCUAGACAGUGUGGGUAAUGAGGUGUUGGGGAGCCAGGUAGGCCCUGUCCCCUUGGAGCUUACAGUCUAAUGGGAAAGACAAUCAAUACGCAAGUUAAAAAAAAAAAAAUGCCGGCUGGGCUUGGUGUUUCAACAGUUUGGGAGGCCGAGGUGGGCAGAUCACCUGAGGUCAGGAGCUCGAGACUAGCCUGGCCAACGUGGUGAAUCCUCUAUUAAAAAUACAAAAAGGAGCCGGGCGUUGCAGCGGGCGGGCGCUUGUAAUCCCAGCUAGUCGGGAGGUUGAGGUAGGAGAAUUGCUUGACCUGGGAGCGGAGGCUGCAGUGAGCCAAGGUCGCGCCGCUGCACUCCAGCCUGGAUGACAGAGCAAGACUCCGUCUCAAAAAAAAAAAAAAAAAGCCAUGAUUUCAGAGCGUGUAAAGUGCUGUGAAAAAAGAAGAGCGAGGAGAGGGGGCAGACAUGGCCUAGGCUGGAAUCUCCGGCAUCAGAGCUCUGAGUAGCCUCUCCCUAACCACGGAGCCGCUCGGGAGACUGGCCCUGGGCGCGGAGUGGGGAGCAGAGGGCAGAGGGUUCGCGUGGGGCGGGUUCAGGGCGGCAAGGGGCACCUGGACCCCCCACAUCGGAGCU